rnacentral:tRNA from 1 species
GGAGAUGUAGCUCAGUUGGUAGAGUGCUCGCCUGGCAUGCAUGAAACUCUGGGUUCUAGCCUCAGCACCA